rnacentral:rRNA from 1 species
GACGAACGCUGGCGGCGUGCUUAACACAUGCAAGUCGAACGGAAAGGCCCUGCUUUUGUGGGGUGCUCGAGUGGCGAACGGGUGAGUAACACGUGAGUAACCUGCCCUUGACUUUGGGAUAACUUCAGGAAACUGGGGCUAAUACCGGAUAGGAGCUCCUGCUGCAUGGUGGGGGUUGGAAAGUUUCGGCGGUUGGGGAUGGACUCGCGGCUUAUCAGCUUGUUGGUGGGGUAGUGGCUUACCAAGGCUUUGACGGGUAGCCGGCCUGAGAGGGUGACCGGCCACAUUGGGACUGAGAUACGGCCCAGACUCCUACGGGUGGCAGCAGUGGGGAAUAUUGCACAAUGGGCGGAAGCCUGAUGCAGCAACGCCGCGUGCGGGAUGACGGCCUUCGGGUUGUAAACCGCUUUCGCCUGUGACGAAGCGUGAGUGACGGUAAUGGGUAAAGAAGCACCGGCUAACUACGUGCCAGCAGCCGCGGUGAUACGUAGGGUGCGAGCGUUGUCCGGAUUUAUUGGGCGUAAAGGGCUCGUAGGUGGUUGAUCGCGUCGGAAGUGUAAUCUUGGGGCUUAACCCUGAGCGUGCUUUCGAUACGGGUUGACUUGAGGAAGGUAGGGGAGAAUGGAAUUCCUGGUGGAGCGGUGGAAUGCGCAGAUAUCAGGAGGAACACCAGUGGCGAAGGCGGUUCUCUGGGCCUUUCCUGACGCUGAGGAGCGAAAGCGUGGGGAGCGAACAGGCUUAGAUACCCUGGUAGUCCACGCUGUAAACGGUGGGUACUAGGUGUGGGGUCCAUUCCACGGGUUCCGUGCCGUAGCUAACGCUUUAAGUACCCCGCCUGGGGAGUACGGCCGCAAGGCUAAAACUCAAAGGAAUUGACGGGGCCCCGCACGAGCGGCGGAGCAUGCGGAUUAAUUCGAUGCAACGCGUAGAACCUUACCUGGGUUUGACAUGGAUCGGGAGUGCUCAGAGAUGGGUGUGCCUCUUUUGGGGUCGGUUCACAGGUGGUGCAUGGCUGUCGUCAGCUCGUGUCGUGAGAUGUUGGGUUAAGUCCCGCAACGAGCGCAACCCUUGUUCACUGUUGCCAGCACGUUAUGGUGGGGACUCAGUGGAGACCGCCGGGGUCAACUCGGAGGAAGGUGGGGAUGACGUCAAGUCAUCAUGCCCCUUAUGUCCAGGGCUUCACGCAUGCUACAAUGGCUGGUACAGAGAGUGGCGAGCCUGUGAGGGUGAGCGAAUCUCGGAAAGCCGGUCUCAGUUCGGAUUGGGGUCUGCAACUCGACCUCAUGAAGUCGGAGUCGCUAGUAAUCGCAGAUCAGCAACGCUGCGGUGAAUACGUUCCCGGGGCU